UUCAGCAUUCUGUCAGGAGAGGAUGACAAUACCCCAUGAUCCUCAAACUAAGAACUGCUGGUGACUUUAUCCCCUCAUGCUGGCAUAGAUCUUAAUCAACCAGAAAACCUCAAAAUGACAAACAAACAAAAGACAGCUUUGCUCUCCAAGGUUCAUUAGCUCAGGCCAAGGUUGAGAAGACGCAGCAGAAACAGGCGAGCUUGGAUUUGAUUGAAACUGGCUGAGAUUGAAGAUCAACUGCCUUAAGAAUGGAAGUUCUCUCAGCUUGUCUGCAAAUCUCUAUCCCUAGACCGUCUUCAUAUCUGGACGUGCGAGUCAGGAACAGCAAGGAUCACAAGGACCAAGGGGACUCAGCAUCGAAAACAGUAACUGCUGAGCAGAACACAGAGGUGAAUACGCCGGAUGGCCUCAAGGCCCCUCCUCACCAGGGAAUUUUUGGGUAAGAGCUGAACCAUUGGCUUCCGGAUGUGGGCUGAUAUCUUACAUGUGAACCGAUGUGUCUACAUCAGUGGCGCCCCCCGCUCACAUCCUCGCCAAGCUUUGUUUCUCCUCCACUUUCAUUCACUUUGUCCAUUUCCAAAGUUAACAGCCAACACCUUCGGAAGAAAUUUCUCCCUGGACUCAAUUCAUUCUGCCCAUUAGGAUCUCACUAUUCAGUCACCCUAUCAUGUCCAACUCUUUGCAGCCCCCGUGGACAGCAGCAUGCCAGACUUCCCUGUCCCUUGCCAUCUCCUGACGUUUGCCUAAGUUCACAUCCAUUUCAUCCAUGAUGCCAUCCAGACAUCUCACCCUCUGAUGCCCUCCUCCUUUUGCCCUCAAUCUUUCCCAGCAUCAGGGACUUUUCCAAUGAGUCGCCUGUUUGCAUCAAAUGACCAAAAU
ensembl:lncRNA